rnacentral:rRNA from 1 species
UACAGAGGUCUCAAGCGUUGUUCGGAUUCAUUGGGCGUAAAGGGUGCGUAGGUGGCGAGGUAAGUCAGGUGUGAAAUCUCGGGACUCAACCCCGAAACUGCACUUGAUACUGCCUUGCUCGAGUACUGGAGAGGAGAUUGGAAUUUACGGUGUAGCAGUGAAAUGCGUAGAUAUCGUAAGGAAGACCAGCGGCGAAGGCGAAUCUCUGGACAGUUACUGACACUGAGGCACGAAGGCCAGGGGAGCAAACGGG